CAGGGGAUAGUUUUAAUAAAAAACAACAGCUUUGGGAGUUGUAGAUGUAGGUGAAAACCUUACUUCCUUG
rnacentral:tRNA from 1 species